GCACUGCUGAGGAAUGGCAUAAUAGGAUGAAACGGCCGUCCAGUGC
rfam:Schistosoma margrebowiei strain Zambia genome assembly, scaffold: SMRZ_scaffold0002327